UUUGCAGCUUUUCACCCUAUACUCCAGAUUGAAAGGAUGUAUAUUUAGGUUAUAAUCAAGAACAGAAGUUAAACAGUAUUUCCUACUUGGAGAAGGAAGAAUACCCUUACUAGAAGCCAAGCAGAUGCCAGCACUGUGCUCUUGGACUUCCCAGCUUCCAGAACUGAAUACUUGGUCUUAGUAUGCUUCCACUCCGAAGCCCAUCACCAUAUUCUGAGAAAGCCAAGCUACAUGUGGACCCUAUAAAUGUGUCUUUUGAUCAAAAGACCUACCCAAGCUCACAAGCAGCAUCCAGCACCAGCUGUCACCUGUGUGACACUUCGAUCUAGUUGAGCAUCCAGAUUAAUGAAGUACAGCAGAAGAUGGGAAGCAGAAGAACCACUCAGCUGAGAAUGGUCAA